rnacentral:rRNA from 1 species
UGGUGGAGUGAUUUGUCUGCUUAAUUGCGAUAACGAACGAGACCUUAACCUGCUAAAUAGCCCGGCUAGCUUUGGCUGGUCGCUGGCUUCUUAGAGGGACUAUCGGCUCAAGCCGAUGGAAGUUUGAGGCAAUAACA